rnacentral:misc_RNA from 1 species
ACUGGACAAUCAGCUUUACUCCGGUGCAAUGUGGUUGGAAUAUCAUGAGAGUACCCACCCUCCAUGUUAAAAAUAAAUGCCAUUCGACCGGGAAGAAACAUCUCAUUUGUCUUGAUAAUAGUUUGAGGCUUCACUAUGCAUUGAUACACAGACUUUGCAGUUGCAGUGCGAAAUGACAAUUGUUGGUCUUCCUUAGAUGGUCUAGACUUCCCAUCAGCAUCAUCUCCAGCAUCUGGCUUCUUAUCAAUCUCACUUCUCACUUUAUUAAGCAAGGCAUAAUCUAGUCCUUUCACCAAAUGCGUGUGCUCCACAUCACCUCCAAGGUACUUGCUCUUCUCAAUGGAAAUCUUGUGGGCGUCAGCUGACCGGAGAUCAACGGCGCCUGGAGGAGCAACUGAGUGAAAGGACCCCAAUUCCGUGGGCUCAUAAUCAGGAUUUUGGUCUUCCCUUCGUUCCUUCGCACGAUCCCUAUAUUUCGGUGGUUCUGGCUCCUCUGGUUUCUCCUCUUUGCGACGAGCAAAUUUCUCCUUGUAAUGUCGUUUUGACGAUGUCAUUGAUGAAGUUCUGCAGCCAAUUGAAGCUAAUAAUAAUUAGGGUUUCCUAAGUGGUUAGAAAUUGAGAAUUUUCUGAGGUUAGGGUUUCUAUUGAGAAGGAAAGGUCAGG